UCCCUGGUGGCUCAGACGGUAAAGCAUCUGUCUACAAUGCAGGAGACCCAGGUUCGAUCCCUGGGUCUGGAA
rnacentral:tRNA from 1 species